GUAUAAUGGUAAAAUUAUAAUAAAUUAAAGUGUAAAUGUCUUUUUUAAAACGUUAGGGAGUUUUUAUCCCUUUGCCUAAAGGUUGGGGGUGUGUUUGUCCUUUUUCCAUAUGUCAAUUACUUAAGACUGUCACAAGUCUUCCUGUUAUGAGAGACAUGUGUCGAUCAUUUAACACCGCUACAUAAUUUUAGGUAAGCAGUGAUUGGUUAAGUUGGAUUCAUUUUUUUAAAAAAUUUUAAAAAAAGAUGCCCUAAAAUAAAAGUUUUGAGGUUGAAAUCAUCCUAGGUUGGCUAAUUUAAUCUCAAACGUAAUAAAUUACUCGACAAUUUUACUUUAUUAAUCCAACAAAUCUUAGGAUCAGUUCAGUACUAUUCUAGCUUUUGAAAUAAUUACUAUUAGAUGUAUUGUUAAAUUAAUUAGCUGUGAAGAGAAUAAGUUAAACGUUUGGUUAAAUUUAUUUUCAAAAGUGCUGCAUGUUUUAAAAG
rnacentral:lncRNA from 1 species